AUUAACAUGAUUAACAGAACCAAAUAAAUGGGUUCAAAUCAUUUAUACAGGUUAUGAGAUUCAAUAGCAUUCUUGAGUUAUUUAUUAUCACCAUUAUGUUAGCUCAACUUGCUUGCUUUUUCUACUUCAACACUCACAACGGCCGUCACAGUUGUAGAGAUUCUGAAGAAAAAAGGGCUAGCUAUUGAGAAGAGGAUUUUGAUGUCUACAGUUGACAUGAAGGAUGAAUCCAAGGGCCGUCUCAUUCCAAAAGCGAAGAUUGAGGUAUUGCUGGGGAAGACUGAGAAAUUCGAUGAUUUGAUUGUUGUCGUUGCUGCCAAAGGGAGGUAGUUGGAGAUAAUAAAGCAUGAUGGCAAACCAUAGCUCUGGAGUUCCAUCAUAUUCUGAUUUUCAUUUCUUUUUUCCUCCUGGUGUCCUGUUUAAGUGAUAGAGGUUAUGGAGUUUUUAAGUAGAGCUGCUGCUGUCAUUAACUGAAAAGAGCAGAGUUGAGAGAGGCCUUUUUAUUUUCUCCUUCUAUGGGAGUUGUUGAUGAUACAGACAAUCUGCUGUUUGGUGGUCAGACUACUGUUGUAUUGUUUGAGUCUUGUUUCAGCAUCUUCCUUUGACGCUGAUUGAUUGACAGCAAACAGUAAAAGCUUUGGUGAUCUUCCAUCUUUGUUGUUUCCAAAGGAUAUGGGGCAGACAUUGCCUUAACUGGUAUUGUCCAUAAUCUGAAAGUAGAUCCUUCUUCUGAA